rnacentral:rRNA from 1 species
CCGUUGCAAGGGACUCCGAAGAGCUGUGGCAAGGGGUGAAAAGCCAAUCUAACCUGGAGAUAGCUGGUCUUCUGCGAAACCCGUUUUAGCGGGUCGCCCAUUUAUUGAAAUUAAAUUCGUUACUAGACGGUACGGCACUGGAAGCCACGCAGCUUUUGCUGCAUAAUCGGGGGGCUGUCAUGGCUCUAUCGAUGGCUUCUAACCCCGGAAAUGUAUAGUAUACAAUGAUGGGCAAUCAGACGUAUCGUGAUAAGGCGAUUCGUCAAAAGGGCAACAGCCCAGAACAGGUGUGAAGGUCCCUAACAAGCUACUGAGUGAACACAAGGCAGUCCUCUCCAGUGUCUCUCCACAAAGUGGGCUUGGAAGCAGCCACCUUUUAGCGAUAGCGUAACAGCUCAGUGGUCUGAGCCUCCCUGUAAAAAGGGAAUAUUGCCUGGUGAGGGCGCCAAAAAUGUAACGGGUCUAUAGUAGUUGUCUCUCUGUUCCAGCUUUGGAUAUGGAGGGAGUGGCAGUUUCUUCACUGUCUCACCGAAACCCUGUCCUAGAUGUAAAAUUCUAGGGGUAGCAGAAUACCCAGCAAAUGGAAUGAAGCUUGCUCAUUGAGCCGGUGGACAUAGCUGGGCUAAGAAUGCCGACAUGAGUAGCCUAAAAGGAGGGUAAUUCCCUCUUCGCCGAAAGCAGAAGGGUUUCAUUUGUAAGGUCUAUACCUAGAUGAUUAAAGCAGCGGCCUCUAAGGUUCAGAGUAACAAAUUAGUUCCGAUGAGUAACUCUUCUAUAGGGCAGUAACCUUCCUUAUAAGUUUACCUUCAAGUAAUUAGAGGUAUACUUCAAAGAGUAAGGUUCGGGAAAGAGCCCUACAGAAUCAAUCUUAAAACCGUACCCUAAACCGACACAGGUCUGCAAGUAGAGCAUACUAAGGCGUAGAGAUAAUCGUCUUGAAGGAACUCGGCAAAAUGACCCCGUAACUUCGGGAGAAGGGGUGCCACUAAUAAGUGGCGGCACUAAACAGGGGGGCGUGACUGUUUACUUAAAACACCGGACUCUGCUAACACUAGCGUGGAUGUAUAGAG